CUUGCUCUUAACUUGUUCUUUCAGGGUUAAGUGAAAGUUUCUGGAAGAUGAGCUUGGAGCUUUCUCUGCAGUUCUGCAGAAUGCACUGAAGUCCUAGCAGAGAGGCAGUAACCUGGAUGCAGUUGGCUGCCACCUGAUGGGCAAUCAUUUCUUGUGGUCACUGCUCCAAAAAGAAGCAGAGAGGCUCCCAGACUGCCUGGAUCACAGCAUGCUCCAGAGGUGCCAGGCCCAGAGCACCAGAGUCGGUUUGCCUUUCACUGAAGACGCACACUGUUAACAUAUGAUGGGAAGAUGUCAAGCAGUACUAGAAGAAAUGGAGGUUAGGUCAAAGGCUCAUUACAAUGGGAGAAUUCCUACAAAACUGGGAGGGGGGGGAAAAAAAAAGAGAAUGAAUGAGCCAUUAUACUUGCCCAGAUCAGAGGGUGGAGGACAACGUGGCUCCAGCUCAGUGUCAGCCAUUUGCUAUGUGGCAAUCUUCUAUCGGUGGUUCUGAACUCAAAGUUAUUCCAAACCAGAGAUGCAGCUGGGAUGUAGAAUGCCAUCAGGUAUUACUAUUUGAGCUGAUGCCAUAAUGCAGCUCCUGGAUUUCUUCUUCAUAUGACUUUAUACAAAUGUCCUUCUGAAAUUUUAUCUUCCUUAACUCCUUUUUCCCAGGAGGGGAAAUAGAAGAAGAAAUUAAAAGUUAACUUUGACAACAAAAUG